GAUGAACGCUGGCGGCGUGCCUAAUACAUGCAAGUCGAGCGAACGGACGAGAAGCUUGCUUCUCUGAUGUUAGCGGCGGACGGGUGAGUAACACGUGGAUAACCUACCUAUAAGACUGGGAUAACUUCGGGAAACCGGAGCUAAUACCGGAUGAUAUUUUGAACCGCAUGGUUCAAAAGUGAAAGACGGUCUUGCUGUCACUUAUAGAUGGAUCCGCGCUGCAUUAGCUAGUUGGUAAGGUAACGGCUUACCAAGGCAACGAUGCAUAGCCGACCUGAGAGGGUGAUCGGCCACACUGGAACUGAGACACGGUCCAGACUCCUACGGGAGGCAGCAGUAGGGAAUCUUCCGCAAUGGGCGAAAGCCUGACGGAGCAACGCCGCGUGAGUGAUGAAGGUCUUCGGAUCGUAAAACUCUGUUAUUAGGGAAGAACAUAUGUGUAAGUAACUGUGCACAUCUUGACGGUACCUAACCAGAAAGCCACGGCUAACUACGUGCCAGCAGCCGCGGUAAUACGUAGGUGGCAAGCGUUAUCCGGAAUUAUUGGGCGUAAAGCGCGCGUAGGCGGUUUUUUAAGUCUGAUGUGAAAGCCCACGGCUCAACCGUGGAGGGUCAUUGGAAACUGGAAAACUUGAGUGCAGAAGAGGAAAGUGGAAUUCCAUGUGUAGCGGUGAAAUGCGCAGAGAUAUGGAGGAACACCAGUGGCGAAGGCGACUUUCUGGUCUGUAACUGACGCUGAUGUGCGAAAGCGUGGGGAUCAAACAGGAUUAGAUACCCUGGUAGUCCACGCCGUAAACGAUGAGUGCUAAGUGUUAGGGGGUUUCCGCCCCUUAGUGCUGCAGCUAACGCAUUAAGCACUCCGCCUGGGGAGUACGACCGCAAGGUUGAAACUCAAAGGAAUUGACGGGGACCCGCACAAGCGGUGGAGCAUGUGGUUUAAUUCGAAGCAACGCGAAGAACCUUACCAAAUCUUGACAUCCUUUGACAACUCUAGAGAUAGAGCCUUCCCCUUCGGGGGGGACAAAGUGACAGGUGGUGCAUGGUUGUCGUCAGCUCGUGUCGUGAGAUGUUGGGUUAAGUCCCGCAACGAGCGCAACCCUUAAGCUUAGUUGCCAUCAUUAAGUUGGGCACUCUAAGUUGACUGCCGGUGACAAACCGGAGGAAGGUGGGGAUGACGUCAAAUCAUCAUGCCCCUUAUGAUUUGGGCUACACACGUGCUACAAUGGACAAUACAAAGGGCAGCGAAACCGCGAGGUCAAGCAAAUCCCAUAAAGUUGUUCUCAGUUCGGAUUGUAGUCUGCAACUCGACUACAUGAAGCUGGAAUCGCUAGUAAUCGUAGAUCGGCAUGCUACGGUGAAUACGUUCCCGGGUCU
rnacentral:rRNA from 1 species